GCUGCCCUCAGCUCCUGGCUCACCUUCCCGUGUGCAGCUAUUUUUGCUUAUACUGCUCCCUGGCAGGAGGUCAUUUAUGCCAAUGUAUCUGACAGAAAUUUGGCCACUUGCAAAGAGGAAUGGCUUUGUGUGAACAGGUUCAGCACUUUCUUGGAAUUAUCCAAGGAUGAAUCAUUUAAAAAAAAAAAAAUGAAAGAAUGGUAGCAGUGACAGAUCUCCAGGCCACAAAGCCAGGAGGAGGAUUGCUUACACGUGUGCUUCCUAUAGAUGCCAAUGUACCUUUAAUACAUGAGAUCAUUUAUAAAAUCUGUGAGGCUUCUUUGGGAUCCUGCUCACAGAGUGCUGGAAAGAAAAGGUGGAAAAGCACCCACAAAGCGGCUUUUGCAUAAGCAAGUUGUUUUCAUCUUCAGAACUCUCCUGCUGCUGUGAUUAAAAGGGCUCCCUAGGUGGACAAAGCUUACAGAAAGAAAUAAUUGGCUCUUUGCUAGUUGAGGAGGAGACUGUAACCUCUGCAUUGUAGGAGAGAUUUUUGAGUGAACCCUGUUCUUCCUGUAAGGCUGGAAUAGUAGUGAGGAAUGUAGAUGCUCUGCAAAUAUUCAAGACAGAAGUAAUCUUUGGACUCGGAAAGCCCAGAACACCCAGGCUUUUCAUAAUUGUGAGAAAAUGUAAAAGAAAUUAGCCUUGGCUUGAUAAGUCAGCCUGUUACUAGCCUCGGAAAGACCACUCUGGAAAAAAAAAUUAAGCCAAAAAAUUGGUCUGGAAGAAGCAGGUGCUAAAAAUCUGUAUCUUUGUUAAACAGUGAGGAGAAAACUUACAAAACUUUAUCUUAACCUAUGAGCUUUGUCAUAAAUUAUUUGAGGCAAACAAGUGGAUGAGGGCCUAUUCUUAAGGUGAGAGUUUCUGAGAGUUUCUUCAGUGUGAAUUCCCUUCCUGCAGGUUUGUAUGGGAUCCUCCUCAAUUAUGUUAACUGUUGUUUUAGAAAAUGCUGCUCCAGGGGUGGGUAAGCUUGCUUUUUACUUCUCCUAAUCCAUAGCAGUUCAGGAGAACUUCAGAAGAGUGUAUUUGUUUUGUAGUGUUUGGAGGUAGACCUUUCUGAAAAAUCUGUGGCUAGUUUGCAGUUUUGAGAGUUUACGUUCAUCCUUGCUGUUUCCGUGCCACUUGUCAUAGCAAAGCCUUUGUGCUGGGGUAUUUUCACUCUGGGAGUUGAAAAAAAAAAAAAAAAAAAAGUUUGAGUUUCAUACAUUGUAGAUGCUGUAGUACAACUACCCGGUGGAGUUAU
rnacentral:lncRNA from 1 species